AAACAUUUUUCCUAUUUGCGCUACUGCAGAUCAUUAGGCCGUAAUAAGAGUGAGAGAAAUGGCACUGUUCAGAGAACAGCAAAUACAUAGCUUAAAUAGCGCCCGAUAAGUUCCACCCUUGUUCGCGUUAUCAUACCUAUAAUGUUCCGACUAUUUCUAUCAUUGAACUAUACGAUAACGUUAUCAUAAUAUAGUUCAAUGAUUUCUAUAAGUCUAUGGCACAGAUUUCUGUAAAGUAUUAGUCAUUACUCAUUAGUAAUCGAACUCCCACUGUGAAUUGAAAAGGUCGGUUGGCAAUUGUGUGGUAUUUUAUAUGGCAAAUAAGAUUUACUUACGAUUUAUUUUGUACUGUAGGUAUUUUAUUAUUUCUAAACCGGUAGUUUUUUUUUAAAAAUAAUAAAAAUAUUUUAUAUAAAUCAUUUAACAUUUACUAUUUUAUUUUACCAUUAGUUUUUAACGUUAUUCCUAAUACAUUUUGUAUAAUAAAUGAAAUGUUUUGCCAACCGACAAAAUGGCGGCCAUCAUCCACCGCGAAGCUUCACUUGGAACAAUGGUUCCAGAUGGCGCCAGUCAGUAGUUCCACAGCCAUUUUGGUGACACAGUUUGACCAUAGAGUACCUAAUUACUCUAUGAAUUUGGCGGUCACAAUAAUUCGUUGUGUAGCCAGUAUGUUAUCUUAAACGACUUAAGCCGAGGUCGUUACCGUAGAAU